UGUUGCUGGGGGCGCCGUCUGGCUGAGAGAGAUUUUGAACUCGACCCUUUGAACUUGAUGUGGUUAGUACCACCGUAGGGAAGCAAAUUU
rnacentral:ncRNA from 1 species